GCUCUCGUAGCUCAGUUGGAUAGAGCAACUCCCUUCUAAGGAGUAGGUCAUGUGUUCGAGUCACAUCGAGAGCA
rnacentral:tRNA from 1 species